rnacentral:rRNA from 1 species
GAUGAACGCUGGCGGCGUGCCUAAUACAUGCAAGUCGAGCGAACAGACGAGGAGCUUGCUCCUCUGACGUUAGCGGCGGACGGGUGAGUAACACGUGGAUAACCUACCUAUAAGACUGGGAUAACUUCGGGAAACCGGAGCUAAUACCGGAUAAUAUAUUGAACCGCAUGGUUCAAUAGUGAAGGACGGUUUUGCUGUCACUUAUAGAUGGAUCCGCGCCGCAUUAGCUAGUUGGUAAGGUAACGGCUUACCAAGGCAACGAUGCGUAGCCGACCUGAGAGGGUGAUCGGCCACACUGGAACUGAGACACGGUCCAGACUCCUACGGGAGGCAGCAGUAGGGAAUCUUCCGCAAUGGGCGAAAGCCUGACGGAGCAACGCCGCGUGAGUGAUGAAGGUCUUCGGAUCGUAAAACUCUGUUAUUAGGGAGGAACAAAUGUGUAAGUAACUAUGCACGUCUUGACGGUACCUAAUCAGAAAGCCACGGCUAACUACGUG